rnacentral:rRNA from 1 species
AGUGAACGCUGGCGGUAGGCCUAACACAUGCAAGUCGAACGGCAGCACAGUAAGAGCUUGCUCUUACGGGUGGCGAGUGGCGGACGGGUGAGGAAUACAUCGGAAUCUACUUUUUCGUGGGGGAUAACGUAGGGAAACUUACGCUAAUACCGCAUACGACCUACGGGUGAAAGCAGGGGAUCUUCGGACCUUGCGCGAUUGAAUGAGCCGAUGUCGGAUUAGCUAGUUGGCGGGGUAAAGGCCCACCAAGGCGACGAUCCGGUGCUGGUCUGAGAGGAUGUUCAGCCACCCUGGUACUGAGACAGCGUCCCGACUUCCACCGGAUGCAGCAGUGGGGAAUAUUGGACCAUGGGCGGCAGCCUGGUCCAGCCAUACCGCGUGGGUGAAGAAGGCCUUCGGGUUGUAAAGCCCUUUUGUUGGGAAAGAAAAGCAGCAGGUUAAUACCCCGCUGUUCUGACGGUACCCAAAGAAUAAGCACCGGCUAACUUCGUG